GAGCAAGUGAUGAUUUAUAUUCAACGAAUCUGAUCAAUUUGUGAAGUCUACUAAAUUCGAGCUUUUUAAAACUGAUGCUCA
rfam:Cucumis sativus cultivar 9930 chromosome 2, whole genome shotgun sequence.